rnacentral:miRNA from 14 species
GUGUUCAUUAAAGGAGGAGACUCAUCUUUCACUCUGUUUUUAUGANUCAUAAAAACAGAGUGAAAGAUGAGUCUCCUCCUUUAAUGAACAC